rnacentral:sRNA from 1 species
UGUAUCUGUUGAUAGUACGAUAUACGAAC